rnacentral:rRNA from 1 species
UCAAGUGUGCAGGAGCGGCGGACGGGUGAGUAACACGUUGGAAUCUGCCCCAAACUGAGGGAUAAGCCCGAGAAAUCGGGUCUAAUACCGCAUACGGUCUUCGGAUCAAAGCUUCGGCGGUUUGGGAGGAUCCUGCGUCCGAUUAGUUAGUUGGUGAGGUAAUGGCUUACCAAGACGAUGAUCGGUAGCUGGUCUGAGAGGAUGAUCAGCCACACUGGAACUGAGACACGGUCCAGACUUC